AUGCAAGUCGAGCGGGGGAAGGUAGCUUGCUACCGGACCUAGCGGCGGACGGGUGAGUAAUGCUUAGGAAUCUGCCUAUUAGUGGGGGACAACAUCUCGAAAGGGAUGCUAAUACCGCAUACGUCCUACGGGAGAAAGCAGGGGAUCUUCGGACCUUGCGCUAAUAGAUGAGCCUAAGUCGGAUUAGCUAGUUGGUGGGGUAAAGGCCUACCAAGGCGACGAUCUGUAGCGGGUCUGAGAGGAUGAUCCGCCACACUGGGACUGAGACACGGCCCAGACUCCUACGGGAGGCAGCAGUGGGGAAUAUUGGACAAUGGGGGGAACCCUGAUCCAGCCAUGCCGCGUGUGUGAAGAAGGCCUUAUGGUUGUAAAGCACUUUAAGCGAGGAGGAGGCUACUUUAGUUAAUACCUAGAGAUAGUGGACGUUACUCGCAGAAUAAGCACCGGCUAACUCUGUGCCAGCAGCCGCGGUAAUACAGAGGGUGCGAGCGUUAAUCGGAUUUACUGGGCGUAAAGCGUGCGUAGGCGGCUUAUUAAGUCGGAUGUGAAAUCCCCGAGCUUAACUUGGGAAUUGCAUUCGAUACUGGUGAGCUAGAGUAUG
rnacentral:rRNA from 3 species